rnacentral:rRNA from 1 species
UACGGAGGGUGCGAGCGUUGUCCGGAAUUACUGGGCGUAAAGCGCAUGUAGGCGGCUCGGAAAGUCGGAUGUGAAAGCCCAGGGCUCAACCCUGGAAGUGCACUCGAAACUCUCGAGCUGGAGUCCCGGAGAGGAAGGCGGAAUUCUCGGUGUAGAGGUGAAAUUCGUAGAUAUCGAGAGGAACACCUGUGGCGAAGGCGGCCUUCUGGACGGUGACUGACGCUGAGAUGCGAAAGCGUGGGGAGCAAACAGG